CCUACGGGGGGCAGCAGUGAGGAAUAUUGGUCAAUGGGCGAGAGCCUGAACCAGCCAAGUCGCGUGAGGGAGUACUGCCCUAUGGGUUGUAAACCUCUUUUUUCGGGGAGCAAAAGCCGGACGUGUCCGGCAGUGAGAGUACCCGAAGAAAAAGCAUCGGCUAACUCCGUGCAAGCAGCCGCGGUAAUACGGAGGAUGCGAGCGUUAUCCGGAUUUAUUGGGUUUAAAUGGUGCGCAGGUGGAUUUUUAAGUCAGCGGGAAAAUCGUGGGGCUAAACCCCAUCCAGCCGUUGAAACUGGGGAUCUAGAGUGUGCGAGAGGUAGGCGGAAUGCGUGGUGUAGCGGUGAAAUGCAUAGAUAUCACGCAGAACCCCGAUUGCGAAGGCAGCAUACCGGUGCACAACUGACGCUCAGGCACGAAAGCGUGGGUAUCGAACAGGAUUAGAUACCCGUGUAGUC
rnacentral:rRNA from 1 species